rnacentral:piRNA from 1 species
UUUGAGGAUGUAGCUCAGUGGU